CGAAUUCACUUUUAUGACUCGACUCGUCGCGAGAACUGUCGACUGACGAUUACGCGAAUACCACGGUUAUAUCCCCUGCCUCCCCCGAGGUAUUCCAGAACUGCAGGACUGUAGUAAGUGGCAGCGGACUGCCGACAGGAUGGCGGGGCGACAGGAUAGCUGAUUGCUCCGACGUCCGACCAGAUACUGAGGCCAGGACCUCAGAUCGCUCGAAACUCCGAGAACCGAGGGCUGGGGGAGACCUGACUGACUCGUCAGUCGUCGAAGGAAGAAUCACCGUCAGACACGCAUAUGCAUACACAGACACCGUGGACUACGUAACCGAGGCGCUUAAUUUUGCAACGAAACAAAUGAGGUCUGUAAAUGGAGGAGACUAGUUGACGUUCUGACAGCUAGAAUGAGAUAACCUCCGACUCGGAUCGUAAAGAAACGCCGGUGAUUACCGGGCAGCCUUUAAACC
rnacentral:misc_RNA from 1 species